UUCCUCCCUAGUGAAAUAGUCACCUCAGAAAUGAGAAUGAAAUAGACCAGCAGGAGAAACAGGGUGGUCCACUGAAAUACAGGUAUUGAUAUAUGGUCUAGAAGGGCAGCCUCAAACUUUGAACAGAUGCUACUCCUGAGGAGAAGAAUGACCCAACACUGCUGCUGGUCCAUGUAACAUCUUUAUGGCUGCUGCUGCUGCUGCUAAAUCGCUUCAGUCGGGUC